AAAGGGCGCGUAGGCGGCGUUUUAAGUCGGGGGUGAAAGCCUGUGGCUCAACCACAGAAUGGCCUUCGAUACUGGGACGCUUGAGUAUGGUAGAGGUUGGUGGAACUGCGAGUGUAGAGGUGAAAUUCGUAGAUAUUCGCAAGAACACCGGUGGCGAAGGCGGCCAACUGGACCAUUACUGACGCUGAGGCGCGAAAGCGUGGGGAGCAAACAGGAUUAGAUACCCCGGU
rnacentral:rRNA from 1 species